rnacentral:rRNA from 1 species
UACGUAGGUGACCAGCGUUGUCCGGAUUUACUGGGCGUAAAGAGCGCGCAGGCGGUCGUUCAAGUCGAGUGUGAAAGCCCCCGGCUCAACUGGGGAGGGUCAUUCGAUACUGAUCGACUCGAAGGCAGGAGAGGGAAGUGGAAUUCCCGGUGUAGCGGUGAAAUGCGUAGAUAUCUGGAGGAACACCGGUGGCGAAGGCGGCAUCCUGGACCGGUAUUGACGCUGAGGCGCGAAAGCCAGGGGAGCAAACGGG